CAAACUUUGUUGUUGAUUUGAAGUACUUUAUAUGUUAAAUAGUUAUGCUCUAGAGCUUGUCAUUAAUUUUUGUUACUAGCAUGGUUACUAUUUACUGCUUUUUUGUUCUCCUUUCAAAUAAUGUUUGUUUCAGCCCCCUUAUUAUUUUUUAAAAAUUAUUAUGUAGCUCCCCUUCAACUAUCAAAAUGUCUAGACUUCACAAACAUCCCGCGGCUACUAUUAAGCAUAGGUUCUCAACCAUUAGGUGGCAUAAGGCAAUAUCUGAUUUAACUGAUAAGCAAAACUGAUUUGUUCGCAAGUAUGAGCUUGAAAACCUUUUGAAUAUUCAUCAUCACCUGAUGAUACCAGCUCCAAUUCUGCAAUGGGUUGCAGACCACUUAAAUUGUAAUGGUACUGGUGUUUUCAGAAAGGGUAAAAGUAUAAUUCAUCUCAGAAGGGAAAUGGUAAUUCUGGUUUUUGGGAUUCAAUCUGGUUUUGUGCCUUUUCCGGUGGACAGCACGGAAGUUGUUAUCGUCAAUAGAGUGCUAGAACUUCGAGAUCAAUAUCUUAAACGUGGCCAGGAGAAAAUUCCAUUGGAUCAUAUUGUCACUAUGAUGAAGAAUGAUGAGACUGAGGAAGGUUUCAUUCAGAGCUUUAUGUUUCUGUUCAUAAGUACUGUUUUCUGCCCAACAACUCAGAAUUAUGCAAAUUGGAAACUUCUUUAUGGGCUCCACGACAUUACACAACUCAAGACCUUUGAUCUGGCUCAGUUAUGUAUUAAUCAUUUGAAUGAGGAAAUUGAAAUUUUUAGUACUGAACUCCUCAAUAGAACUGAAGUUCCUUUGAACAAUUCAAUAUUUGUUGGUGGAUGUUUACCUUUGGCUGCUAUUAUUUAUCUGGACUUCAUGGACUUCACAAAAGAUUCAAAACAAGCAAAUCAAUUAUGGAGUUCCUAGGAUGGCACACAUUCAGAAUGAGGAUUUUGACUAUCUUACUUCAGUUGAUUUGAACAGAGCUUCAAAAAAGCCAUUUGCAUUGGGAUUCUUACCGUUGAAAGACAUAUCCAGGACUCCUUACAGUGCUCGUGCAAUCAUAUUGGCUGAGGAAAAGUUGUCCAAAGCACCAGAGACUUUUCAUAACAAGGAAGAUCAAAGUAUUCCUCAAACAGACAAUUUUGCAUCUACUUCAAACAAAAAUGCAGAAGUAUAUUUUUAUGCUUUUCUUAGUGGUUGUUUCUUACUAUACUUUGGGCUUGCCAGUUCAUUUUUGU